rnacentral:rRNA from 1 species
UACAGAGGGUGCGAGCGUUAAUCGGAAUUACUGGGCGUAAAGAGCGUGUAGGCGGCCAGGUAGGUCUGCUGUGAAAACUCGAGGCUCAACCUCGAGACGUCGGCGGAAACCAUCUGGCUAGAGUCCGGAAGAGGAGAGUGGAAUUCCUGGUGUAGCGGUGAAAUGCGCAGAUAUCAGGAAGAACAUCGGUGGCGAAGGCGCUCUGCUGGACCAUAACUGACACUCAGGGACGAAAGCUAGGGGAGCGAAUGGG